AUUGAACGCUGGCGGCAGGCCUAACACAUGCAAGUCGAGCGGAUGAAGUGAGCUUGCUCCUGGAUUCAGCGGCGGACGGGUGAGUAAUGCCUAGGAAUCUGCCUGGUAGUGGGGGAUAACGUCCGGAAACGGGCGCUAAUACCGCAUACGUCCUGAGGGAGAAAGUGGGGGAUCUUCGGACCUCACGCUAUCAGAUGAGCCUAGGUCGGAUUAGCUAGUUGGUGGGGUAAAGGCCUACCAAGGCGACGAUCCGUAACUGGUCUGAGAGGAUGAUCAGUCACACGGGAACUGAGACACGGUCCAGACUCCUACGGGAGGCAGCAGUGGGGAAUAUUGGACAAUGGGCGAAAGCCUGAUCCAGCCAGGCCGCGUGUGUGAAGAAGGUCUUCGGAUUGAAAAGCACUUUAAGUUGGGAGGAAGGGCAGUAAGUUAAUACCUUGCUGUUUUGACGUUACCAACAGAAUAAGCACCGGCUAACUUCGUG
rnacentral:rRNA from 1 species